rnacentral:rRNA from 1 species
AUGACGACCGUUCCAUUGCUUCUCUUCUCGCUCUCAUUUGCGCAAUGGAGCCCAGUUGGGACGAUCGGGGAUCUAGCAUUUGGGGUUGUUGGCGAUUGUAAGCCAACUCUUUAUCCCAUUCUUGUUCAUUACAUGGGAUUUCGUGCCUCGACACGUGGGAGAUAUAGCCGCAUCGUGGGCGUUACAGACAGAGGUGAUCCCUUCGAAUUCACUCUUGGGAAUGGGCAGGAGGGUCUGUUGGGGGCGCGGCUGAAGAUGCUCUUACUAGUUAUGUGUGUCGGCGAAAAGCGGAAGCUAAGAAUACCCGCAAAGAUGGGUUACGGCGAGCGAGGAUCCCCACCAAAGAUUCCAGGCGGUGCAACUCUGGUUUUCGACACGGAGCUCAUCGCCGUCAAUGGGAAGACAUCUGCUGGCGCCGCCGCGGAGAGCGACGACAGCGAGCUUUGA